AAAGUAUCACUGAUUAAAUAGAUACUUAUAUACCUAAAAAUAACUUUUUGAAAAAAUAAAAAGCAAACUACUAGAAAGUUGUUGCUCGAAUUUGAUCAACUUCUAGCUAAACGGAUAGGAACCCGUUUAAAUGGCCAAAAAUAACUAGAAAUAUAAAAAAUGAAUACAAGUUGGUGAUCAUCCAUAAAAUUUGUUCCAAAUUGACAGAAAAAUUUAACGGUGCCAAUUUGCAAAAUAUUUUUGAUAGCACAUUCACAAACCACUAUAUUUUUAGCAAUUAAAAAAAGUAUUUUAGACCACAGACGUUUGAAACUAAUAACGACUCUUCCCACGAAUCACUGAACUGUAGCCGAUAACCUUCCACACAUGAUAGAUCCAACAUCUAUGACUCACCUCUCAACAGCCCGACCCAAACCCUACCAGCUCUCCUCCCUGCAUCCCCUCCAUUCUCGAGAACAUGCGAGCCGCCGCCUCCUUCUGCCCGAUCUCUCACCUCGCUUUGCUCCCGAACCCUCACCACCAACAGAUCGACCAACUCUGCCCCGGCGAUGGACUCCACCUCGCUCGCCGCCCCCACCCACCUGCCCUCUCUCCUGCGACGUCGCCUAGGGUCACGUCUUGGAUCUGUCCACGAAGAAGGCACCGGGAGAGGAGGAGGGGGCGGUAACAGUGGCCUUCCGGAUCUGAGGAGAAGAAGGUCCGACGGAUGGGCUCGCUCUCUGGCUGCGCCCCGAGCAAUCGUCGACUUACGGGGCGAGGAGGAUUCUCGCACCGUCGUGGCCGCCUCAGGGACACCUCGCCGUCGGCUGCCGCCCGAGCGCGAUUGCCUCACCGCCGUGGUCGCCUCGCGCGCGCCCCGGUGUUGCGUGUCGUGCCGCCACCAUGUUCCAGAAGCUUAACACCGUCGGCGAGUCCCUCCCUCUGGCCCGACCCUGUGCUCUGGAACCUUGUGGCGCUGAUUAUCUAUGGUGGGACCAACGCACGUCCGGUCGCCCUUCAAGACCAGACAAACUAGCCAGCUAACUUUGGAAUUCACCGGUCGGAAAACCGGCGAUCCGACCAUGUACGAGGUGUUCUGGAGGGAGGUCGGGGAGCGGGUGGCCAAGAUAUGGUGAAAUAGGUACACUAUGAAGCUAAAAAUAGCGAGCGGCGAAGAGAUGGAGAAGUAUGACGAUGUGUCUGAUGAUGGUUUCUCUCUCCACUUCUUUCCCGUCUUUUGAGGAGGGCAUUCAGUUUCUGAAUGAUGGGGAGCAGCAGCAGGUGCAGAUCAUGGAAGCAGAGCCGCAUCUUCUGCUGUGUGUCAAGAAGUGGUGCCAAACUGACAGGUACGAGAGCAAUGACGCAGGCGACCAACUCGGUGAUGUUGACGCCUUGACGGCGAUGGCGGGAAGUGGAGGGAGUGGCCAGACGAGUUACAACCCUCCUCAUGAUUCGUUGAUUUGUUAUCCAUUCAUAUCAUCCCCAAGACAAAAUGAGAAUCAUUUGAAUUUGUCCUAUGUCGGGUUGUUAUGGUGACCGUUUUUUAGAAAAUAAUUUUCAUAGAAUGGGUCUUUAUGUUCACUAGCCUUAGGACUAAUGUUAGCUGGUGGACAUUCACUUGAUACACAAAAUCCAAGAAAAAUAAAAUCUGGAUUACAAGACCA